rnacentral:rRNA from 1 species
GAUGAACGCUGGCGGCGUGCCUAAUACAUGCAAGUAGAACGCUGAAGGAGGAGCUUGCUCUUCUGGAUGAGUUGCGAACGGGUGAGUAACGCGUAGGUAACCUGCCUGGUAGCGGGGGAUAACUAUUGGAAACGAUAGCUAAUACCGCAUGACAACAGUUAUUGCAUGAUAACUGUUUAAAAGGGGCAACUGCUCCACUACCAGAUGGACCUGCGUUGUAUUAGCUAGUUGGUGAGGUAACGGCUCACCAAGGCGACGAUACAUAGCCGACCUGAGAGGGUGAUCGGCCACACUGGGACUGAGACACGGCCCAGACUCCUACGGGAGGCAGCAGUAGGGAAUCUUCGGCAAUGGACGGAAGUCUGACCGGGCAACGCCGCGUGAGUGAAGAAGGUUUUCGGAUCGUAAAGCUCUGUUGUAAGAGAAGAACGAGUGUGAGAGUGGAAAGUUCACACUGUGACGGUAUCUUACCAGAAAGAGACGGCUAACUACGUG